CGUCCGUAGCUCAGUUGGUUAGAGCACCACCUUGACAUGGUGGGGGUCGGUGGUUCGAGUCCACUCGGACGCUACCA
rnacentral:tRNA from 1 species